rnacentral:snRNA from 1 species
GUGCUCGCUUCGGCAGCACAUAUACUAAAGUUGGAACGAUACAGAGAAGAUUAGCAUGGCCCCAGGGCAAGGAUAAGAUUUUAAAAAAGAAGAUCACUAUAGAACU